AAAAAAAGAAAUUGAAAUACACAGCCACUUAGCCCCAAAUGAAAUUAACAAAACAAGAAAAAUCCCUAAUUGUGUAUUACACGUUUAAUUCUCUAGUCUCUACCAGUUGGCUUCUCUGGAUCUCACUUAAACUCAGCCUCUCAAUCGUUUUCCUCUCACGCUCACUCGCUCGAUCUAUUCUCUCUCACACUCAGUCCCCUCGAUCUGUUCUCCCACUCAGCCUCUGCAAGAACUCAGCCUCUACAAGAACUCAGAUCUCGUCUUUCUCUCCAUAACGUCGAGCUUCUCUCCUUCACACUCAGCCUCGACAAGAACCAAGCGACCCCGCCAAUGCAAGAACCAGGCCACCAUGGGCCAAACUAGGCAGACCUCCAAUUGUUUAUGAGGGCCAAUGAAAACAGAUCAGGAUCACAAUUCGUUUAUUGGAAUCAAAUCAUUGAUUGAGCCUACUCUUCGUGAACUACAAUCAAAGAUGAGAGAAGCUGAGAAUGAUCCCCAUGAUGGCAAGAGAAAGUGUGAGGCUUUGUGGCCUAUAUUCAAAAUAGCACAUCAGAAGAGCCGUUACAUUUUUGACCUUUACCAUCAACGAAAGGAAAUAUCUAAGGAGUUGUUUGAGUUCUGUCUAGACCAAGCCUGGUUAUGAACGCCUCUACUGCUUGAGGUGCAUGCAGCCCCGAGAUCAUAACUUUGCUACCACAUGUGUGUGUCGAGUGCCGAAACAUCUGAGAGAGGAGAAGGUUAUAGAGUGUGUACAUUGUGGUUGUAGGGGCUGCACUAGUGGAGACUGAUUGGCUUCCACUUCUUCUGAGUGUUAACUAUAUAUGCUAGGAUAGUCUAUUAUGGUUAAAUAACUGAAAAUUGAAUCUGUUUUGCUAAUGCAACAUCAUCAUGCUUCAUACUCAUUGAAUGGUGCCAAUGACAGUGAGAAAACAAAGGCGUUGUUGACAAGUACUGCACAUGUACAUUUGGAGUAAUCAGAAAUCAUCUUCAACUACCUCAGAAAGUGUACAACUUAUAUGUUAUGGUAGAAUUUCUUGUAUUUUUUGCUGUGUUUAAAGUCUACUCCUUAAAAGAAUCAAUGUUCCUAGCCAGAAUAAGAAACAUUAUCUUGUUUUAUGUAACUACAAUGCUCUCUCCUCCAUUUAUAUUAGAAAAGCUAUAGAGAAUUAAAUUGGAGGAUUUCUUAGAGUAAAGCUUCUGGAUACACACUGCAUCUGCAUGGAUUGUUUGUUUGUCUAGAAAAUGCAAAAAGGUAAAAGCUUUGUAAUAAGCUUGAUUUUGAUUUUUUUUUUUGGAAAUUUCAGAUGGAUUUCAAGUCUGGGCUCUCUUACCUUUGAUGGUAUUUAUUAGAACUGACUGAAAGUUGUAUUGAUUAAAACUUGUAUAAGCGUUUGAUAUUUGACAUUUGGUGUUUGGUGUUUUGGUUUGUGAAUUGAAAGCAUGAAUCUGUUUUGGUGUUUGGUAUUUUCGGUGCUUGAUGAUUUGCAUUUUUAAUGGAUAUAAGUGGAUGACCAAUCUGAACUUUGAAAUCAUUUUUUUGGUUAUAAAAAGCUAUGAUUCCUCUCUUUCCCUUAUUAAUUUAAGCAAGAACUUCUGAUCUGUUUCAACUACUUCAUUGAUGAUUGGCCUUUUUUAUUUAUUUGGGCAAAAGAUAACUAGCUUUUUAGUGUGCACUUUUGUUGUGUUAGUUGAUUAUGUCUCAUUAAUUAUGUACUGCAUACUCAAUGUCAAAACAUAUUUGGAAAUAUAUUAGCAAAUUCACAAUGUAUGGUUAUCAAACUAAGCUACUACACAUCGAUAUUGUAUAUGUAUACAUCAUUUUUAUCAUUUGGUUUAACUUGAGUUUUUUUUAAUCAUUUUUCUUAUUAUUGAAUUUUUUCCUUGUAGCUUGAUUUUUUUUUCUCCCUAUGCAAUAUAAUAGUAUUGAAUUUGAUUAAGAAAAAUAAAAGAAAAAAAUAAAAACAACAUAAUAUUCAAAGUUGUAAAUUUUUGUCUUAUUAAUGAUAUAUACGAAGAUAGAAUUUGAUAAAAUAAAAUUGUUAUAAGUUUCUCAAUGAGACAUUAUCUUUUGUUGGGUGGAUUAAUUUGGUUUUUGAAUUAAUUUUUCUCAUAUAUAUAGAAAAAAAUUAUAUCAUAUUCUACUCUACUUUUCAAACAUGACUUAAAAGUAUUGGUGUUGCUGCAAAUAAGUUCUGGACAACCUAUAUGAUUUACUGGUUCACUUUAUUCAAAACUUUUCUAAUAGAAUUUCUUCACCAUAUCUGCUUGAUGUUUCACGAUAUAGAUUAGCUGUUAAAAUAUUUGUUUGAAUAGAUGGCAGGAAUCUUUAAGCCAUUUUAAGCACAUUUUUUAUCUGGGUAAGCAAGGAAAGCAUAGAGAUGUCAAGGUUUACUUAAUUCCUAGAAACCAUGACAUUGGCUAUGAAAGUAACCUCAUUCAUAGUCUAGAGGAGUUUGGAAAGAGAAACUAUUGAUUUACAGCAGUAGAAGUGGAAUUUACUGCCAUUGAUGCCCAAACUUUAGAAGAUGACUUUGUAUUAGAGUGCAGAUGACUGGAUUCUUUAGUUAACAAUAGUAAAUCAUCCACAUCAUAUCAUCAAAAGAAUCAAGCUUUCUCGUCUUGGAAUUUGUCAAGAAUGUAUCAAUUGUUGUUUGAUCUUAUCCAAGGGUUUUAUUGACCCAUAUUCCAUUGUAUCGACGUGAUUGGACAUAUUGUGGGCCUAAUCGCAAAUCUCCAGUUAUCAACCAGCGAGUGACGCACACGGCUGAUAGAGAAAUAAUGUUUGAUUAUAUUAUUGCUUUUCUACAAAAUGUGCACCUGAAAUAUUACUUUGAGUUGGUGACCUCGUAGAUGCUUUCGGAUUGAUCUUUGUUUCAAAUAAAUAGGUACUUAUCUUGUCUGGUCAUGAUCAUGAUCAAUGCACUAUAACUCAUAAGUCAACAUCCGGACCUGUAAUGGAGGAACUGUAAGUUGGCAGGAGGGAAACCUGUACCCAUCUUUCAUGUUGUUGUCUGCUACUAAUGUUCUACUUUCAAACACUUCAAGUCCUGAUGAAGAAAUAUCAACUCAGUUGUGCUUUCUUCAAGCAAUUGUUUAUCUAUCAUAUACUAAUUGUAGUUUUUAGAUAACACUUACAUAGUUAUUGUAAGUGUAUAUUUUGAUAUUGUAAUUUUUAGAUUUGGAACAUACUGAGUUCUAUUGAUUUUGUCUGCUUAUUGAUUCUGUCUUAACUAUGUUUUAAUUAUAUAGGAAAUUAUGAAUGAA